rnacentral:rRNA from 1 species
UACGUAGGGAGCAAGCGUUGGCCGGAAUCAUUGGGCGUAAAGCGCGCGUAGGCGGCCUUGUAAGUCCGUUGUGAAAGUCAAAGGCUCAACCUUUGAAAGCCGAUGGAUACUGCAGGGCUAGAGUCCGGAAGAGGCGAGUGGAAUUCCUGGUGUAGCGGUGGAAUGCGCAGAUAUCAGGAGGAACACCAAUAGCGAAGGCAGCUCGCUGGGACGGUACUGACGCUAAGGCGCGAAAGCGUGGGGAGCGAACAGG